GGGGGUGUAGUUUAGUUAAGAAUGUGGCUUUUGUAAAGCUGUGGUGUGUAUUUUUUGUUACUGCCCCCA
rnacentral:tRNA from 1 species